rnacentral:rRNA from 1 species
UGCCGCGUGCAGGAAGACGGCCCUUGUGGGUUGUAAACUGCUUUUAUUCGGGAAUAAACCUAUCUACGUGUAGAUAGCUGAAUGUACCGAAGGAAUAAGGAUCGGCUAACUCCGUGCCAGCAGCCGCGGUAAUACGGAGGAUCCAAGCGUUAUCCGGAUUUAUUGGGUUUAAAGGGUGCGUAGGCGGCCUGUUAAGUCAGGGGUGAAAGACGGUAGCUCAACUAUCGCAGUGCCCUUGAUACUGACGGGCUUGAAUUGACUAGAGGUAGGCGGAAUGUGACAAGUAGCGGUGAAAUGCAUAGAUAUGUCACAGAACACCGAUUGCGAAGGCAGCUUACUAUGGUCUUAUUGACGCUGAGGCACGAAAGCGUGGGGAUCAAACAGGAUUAGAUACCCUGGUAGUCCACGCCCUAAACGAUGAACACUCGCUGUUGGCGAUACACAGUCAGCGGCUAAGCGAAAGCGUUAAGUGUUCCACCUGGGGAGUACGCCCGCAAGGGUGAAACUCAAAGGAAUUGACGGGGGCCCGCACAAGCGGAGGAGCAUGUGGUUUAAUUCGAUGAUACGCGAGGAACCUUACCCGGGCUUGAAAGUUAGUGAAGUUUCCAGAGAUGGGAG